AGAACCUUUUAAUACAGUUUAUAUAGCACGAGUCCACAAGUCACUUUAGAAACAGACAAACAAAAUAAAGCAUCAUUAUCCUAAGUUAGAAAAAGGGAGGGG